rnacentral:rRNA from 1 species
GACGAACGCUGGCGGCGUGCUUAACACAUGCAAGUCGAACGGAAGGGCCCUGCUUUUGUGGGGUGCUCGAGUGGCGAACGGGUGAGUAACACGUGAGUAACCUGCCCUUGACUUUGGGAUACUUCAGGAAACUGGGGCUAAUACCGGAUAGGAGCUCCUGCUGCAUGGUGGGGGUUGGAAAGUUUCGGCGGUUGGGGAUGGACUCGCGGCUUAUCAGCUUGUUGGUGGGGUAGUGGCUUACCAAGGCUUUGACGGGUAGCCGGCCUGAGAGGGUGACCGGCCACAUUGGGACUGAGAUACGGCCCAGACUCCUACGGGAGGCAGCAGUGGGGAAUAUUGCACAAUGGGCGGAAGCCUGAUGCAGCAACGCCGCGUGCGGGAUGACGGCCUUCGGGUUGUAAACCGCUUUCGCCUGUGACGAAGCGUGAGUGACGGUAAUGGGUAAAGAAGCACCGGCUAACUACGUG